CCCAGGUGGUCUUCAGUUACUAAUGAAAAGAGGUGUCCCUCCCCCACCGCCCCCCAUCGUGAAGCUUCAAAUGGUGACAUUUUCUCUUAUAACAGUACAGCUCAGGAAGCCCACAUCAUGACCAAGUACAAGGAAGGUAAGCACUUUCUGCCUCGCUCAUCCCUGAAGAUUCCUGGUUUCUACGGAGACCACAGAGCAUCCUGACCUCUUAAGCCUUCAGCUUCAGCAUCAGUUUGGGACAGUAUUCGUAAAGUUGACGCUUCAGGCACAAUUUCCUGAGAACUGUAUGAGUGGAGUGAUACCAAGACUGUGCGUGCAGACAGACUGUAGAGGGAUCAUUCAGCACUCACUCAGAUACUCUGAAUUGUUUUCUUACUGUUGUACUCAGAAGACUAUGCUGCCCAAAGUUGUUCACACUGGUACUUAAAACAAGAUGGACAGUGAACUCUUACCUUGGUUACUAGGCUGAUUAAGUAAUAAAAGAGAAGGAUAGUUCCAACGAUGCCAGCGAUCACCCCCAAAACAAUGGCUAUUGUCACUAUGGGAGAUAAAAAGGAAGAAAGUGAAGAAUCAACUGUGUCAUUUGAAAAACCAAACAGGUGAUAUAACCUUGCCUGCUCACAGAAAAUGCAUCAAUACUUCAUAGUUUUGUCCACAUUUAAUCUUUAAAAACUUUGGAUUUUGAUGGUAACCUUGUGGGCAUCUGGAACUUUAUGCAUCUCAGCCACACAGUGAAUU